rnacentral:rRNA from 1 species
GUAGCUUUGGCCUCUGACCGAGGAGGAGCCCGCGGUGGAUUAGCUUGUUGGUGGGGUAAUGGCUUACCAAGGCGACGAUCCAUAGCUGGUCUGAGAGGACGAUCAGCCACACUGGGACUGAGACACGGCCCAGACUCCUACGGGAGGCAGCAGUGGGGAAUCUUGCGCAAUGGGCGAAAGCCUGACGCAGCGACGCCGCGUGAGGGAAGAAGGCCUUCGGGUUGUAAACCACUUUCAGGAGGGACGAAGCCACUCGGGUUAAUAGCCCAGAGGGUGACGGUACCUCCAGAAGAAGCGCCGGCUAACUACGUGCCAGCAGCCGCGGUAAUACGUAGGGGGCAAGCGUUGUCCGGAUUUAUUGGGCGUAAAGAGCGUGUAGGCGGCCAGAUAGGUCGGUUGUGAAAACUGGAGGCUCAACCUCCAGACGUCGACCGAAACCAUUUGGCUAGAGUCCGGAAGAGGAGAGUGGAAUUCCUGGUGUAGCGGUGAAAUGCGCAGAUAUCAGGAAGAACACCCGUGGCGAAGGCGGCUCUCUGGGACGGUACUGACGCUGAGACGCGAAAGCGUGGGGAGCGAACAGGAUUAGAUACCCUGGUAGUCCACGCCGUAAACGAUGGGUGCUAGGUGUGGGGGGUGUCGACUCCCCCCGUGCCGAAGCUAACGCAUUAAGCACCCCGCCUGGGGAGUACGGCCGCAAGGCUAAAACUCAAAGGAAUUGACGGAAUCGAAUU